AAGCCUCAAUCCAUCUCUUCCAGUCUCGACUCAGAGUCAGAGAGACAUCGGAGGAGGAGAUGCCACUCAAGGUCAAAUGGAGCGGCAAGGAUUACACGGUGCGAGUCUGCGGCGACGACACCAUUGUCGAACUCAAGUGUCGAAUCUGGAAGUUAACCAACGUUUUACCCAUUCGCCAGAAGUUCUUAUACCCUAAACUCGGUUCCAAGCUCAACGACCACUCUCUCAACUCUCUCUCAAUUCCUAAGUUCACCAUGAUCGGGACUACUGAAGAAGAUUUUUUAAUUGUUGAUCCAGUGGAGGCCCCUGAGAUUAUUGAUGAUCUUGAGCUUCCUCAAGAAGAAGCUAUUGACAUCAAAGACAUGGAGGUCAACAAGCACAAGUUGAUCAAGCGCAAUAAUUAGUUCAAGGCAUAUGUGCCUGUUUUCAGUGCUUUGAAGGAGGUUUGAUCUUUCCAAAGUGAAAUAUGACGUGUCUGAUGGAAGUUGGAUCAAGCUUCAGAACCCAAGUAGCAAGAAGGUUUAAUCAUUGAUUCCCUCUUUGGUUUUGACUUGCAGUUGUAGGGCUUGAGACUCGAUGGUGUCACCGUGAACUUCUAAAGCAGUUGAAACUGCUUCCAUUUUCAGGGUCUUGGGUUGUGAAUUUUCGGUUCCUGUUUGGAAUCUGUGACAAUGGGUUUGCUUUCUGGGAUGUUUAUGGGUAUACUGUUUGGCAUAGAAUUGAUGGCAGCAUGGGACCGAAGUGCGUUUCUCUCAUCAAAGUUCCAUGAACCAAAUCGCCCCUCCCGACCUCAUUCCUAUCCACGGUACGACGGCGACACCGCAGGUACUGCAGGCCGAAGCUUAUUUGUAUAUACUAUGGAUUGUCUCAAUCGCAUCUCUCAUAGCCUGCUCCGAUGCAUUGAUUUCAUCCCCUCGACCUUCCAAUUCUCUCGAACUUCAAUCGCAUAUCUCAAUCGCACCUCUCAAGAAAAAAUUGAGGUCCCAAAUUCUCCAGAUCCUCCAUAAAGCUUGCUAAGGUAUCUGAACGGGAAUAACAUUAAUAGUAUUCCAUGUGAGAGCUUGAACAUCACAAAAUAUUAGGAAGAGCUAUACGCAUGUAGCCCAGGAAAUCACUUCAACCGGUGUGUCAAGAAGGGCAAGAUAUAUCUGGCGGAUGUUAGCACUAAGCUAAAGAACAAGAACUUCACUACAGAUGUCAAAGUGGACACUAACUCAAACAUGGAAAUCAUGUUUCUGCCUUGGAUCUUUUACCUGAGAUAUAUACAUUGUUAAUCGCAUUAUUACAUGGUUUUUGGAUAAUAUUAUCUAUGCUCGUGCCUACACUUAUGAGCAUCAGUACAACCUCAUCCUUGGCUUAGCUGCUAAAAUGUCUGAAGAACCAGUAUUGUAGAUUCAAGGAUUGCUUUGUAUAGGGUGGACUUUUCAGGAAGAGGAGAGCUUGCAGCGCCAGCCAAAACUGGCACAAAUGCUUUCUUGAUUGAUAAAGAUAGCUGCAGAAUUCAAUGUUGCAGUUUACAUGACAAAUCAAGAGUCAAAUAUAUGCAAAUUGUUCUGGAUGGUUUCACCAUAAACUGCUGAAGCAGAUGAAAUAUCCUCCAUUCUCAUGUCUAUUUUCAGGUGUUGACUACAAGAUCAAGGUUUGGAACUACAAGCUGCACAGGUGUUUCUCAAUUUCCUAUUAGUGUUGGUAUCACAGCUAUCAGUGGAAGGCAAUAAAUGUUAUUGCUUUCUCAUCAACCUAUCCUUAUUUGCUUCAUUUUGGUACUUCUGUGUAGUAGACUAAUCCUUGUGUUUUUUUAUUUUAUGCACUUACUAAGUAGAAUAUAAUUUCAAGCUCAUAGUGAAUACUAGAAUCAAGGUACAAAGCUGACUCGGCGCACCUACGAUCAUUCAGCAACACCCCAAUCAUUGCCACCCGUGGCCUCCCUCCUCUCCACGGCACGACGACGAUUCAGUACCUUCCCCACGGCGUUUGUUCCCUGAUUUUCAUCUUCACAAGCGGCUGUCUUCCCUUAUGUUCACCCUGUCUGCCAUUAUGCCCUCAUCUCAGUAACUUGACAAACAGCUCAGAAACCUUAACACUGAUUCAGUAACAUCUACAGUUAGUGGAUCCAUGUUCUACAUGUUUUCCCCCUUUUAACUCUUGCCAAAUUGGUGCUAUAUAAAUAAGGCUUAAUCCUCAAAUUAGUCCCUGUCUUUGUCUCGCUGUCUGAUCUAAGUCCCUCACCGGAAAAAUUUGUGGAAAACGUCCUCAUUUUUUCAAAACGUGUGGAGCCAGUCCUCGCCGGAGCCUGAAGCUCCGGCGAGGCUGCUGAGUGGCAAGGGAAAGCUUACGUGGCUUUAUCCAUGUCAUUUUUAAUUAAAUUUUAAAUGACAUGUAUUUAAUUAUUAAUUAAAUUAAAAUUAUUAAUUAAUAAAAAAUCUGAAAACUCUAAUUCUUAACCAUUCAUCUGGAUCUUGUUCAUCUUCAUCUUCUUCUUUAUCAUCUUCAUCUUCAUCUUCAUCAUCCACCAUUAACGUUUCAAAAAAAAUCAUCCAGCAUUAAAAUAAAAACACUAAAUCAUCAUUCAAUCCCACCUUCAUCUUCAUCUACACAUCUAAAAAAUUCAGAACCACACCAACACAGGGCCUUACCAACAAAUCCCUAUCACUCAAAAGUUGAAAUCAAAAGCAUUACCAACCCAACUGAAACUCGUUUCCACUACUCCACGAGCAUAAAACAAGCCAAAACCAAAAUUGAACUCUGAAUUCCAUUGUCACUUUACCAUAGAACCCACAAAGCUACAACCACUCUGAAUUCUCAACAGCUUUUGGGGUUCUUUCGAUCACUCCCCAAAAGAUUGGAACUUGGCUGGGUUUCUGGCCGCUCUGAUCCUUCCUCCUCUUUCGAUCUGGACGCUCUGAUUAUGGAUCUUGACUGGAGAGAGAACCAAGAUCUGGAUCUGAAUCUAGAACCCAAACCAAGUACCGCCCUCACAUCUUCUUCCCCAGAACCAGCACCAGUGCCCGCAACAUUUUGACCCAAUCAGAUCCAGAGAUAAAGUUGCGAACGAGAGAAGAAGAGAGGAGAAAGCUUCAUCCCUGGAUCUGAAGAAGAUGAGGUGUCGCAACGAAGAGGAGGUUUCGGUUGCAGGUGGGGUUGGGGUUCGCGUUCGGUUGCAGGUGGUGGUGGGGUUCGCGUUCGGUUGUAGGUGGGGUUUUCAUGGGUAUGAUGAAGAAGAAGAUGAAGGAGAGGAGAUGAUGUGAUGAAUUUUUGGGUUCUACAGAGGAAGGAGCAUCUCAAUUGCACUUUCUACAGGAUCAGCAUUAGCGUUCACAUAUGCAGUUCUUGAUUUCAGAGGUCAGAUAAUGAAACAUGUCGCUGGAAAAGAGUACGCUGCAUACACCACAAAGAAAGACCCAGCUCUGAUGCAUAACUAUUAAUUUAUGCACCUUUAUGGAUCAUUACUCGUUAAGCCAAUUGUUUGUUUUGAGUUGGAAUUACAUACUCGGUUGUCUUUCCAUAUUUUCCUGUUGAAUUUGCUGAACUUGUUAAACUUCAAUGAAUGUUUUGUAAUCUGUUCUUCCAAAAAAAAAAUAUUUGGGAAAUUAGGUUUUUUUGAUUAAUUUUGGGUUUUUUUAAUUAUUUUGUUUUUCAGGUGUGUAAAUUUUUAAUUUUUUUAAAAUUCCACGUAUGAUUCAUUAAUACAGUCAUCAUGCCAUAUCAUCACUCGCCGGAGCUCCAGACUCCGGCGAGGACUUGCUCCAGACGUUUUAUAAAAUAGAGGACUUAUUCCACAAAUUUUUCCGGUCAGGGACCUAGUUCAGACGGCAAGACAAAGACAGGGACUAAUUUGAGGAUUAAGCCUAUAAAUAAUGUGCCACAGGGAUUUGAGAUAAUGUGCCACAGGGAAUUUAGGGAAUGGAGGCUACUCUUCAUGAAUAUCCUUGACAAGCUUCUUUUUAGCAUACGGCUCAAACUGAUUAGACUUCUCAAAUUAAGCUUCUUUUUCUUCAUUCAUUUUGAUGGUGUUAAGAGUCUGGAAUAAAAGGAUGCUAUCCACAAAUUUUUUGGUUGUGAUUUCGUAUUUUCUUUGACAAAUAAUUCAAGUAGUUUGGCAGAAGAUGAGUAUUAAUCCACGAUUGAAGUUCAAUUCAAUCUCUUCAAUUUAUUGAAAUUUUUAUGUUGGUUAUUGAGUUGAUUUUCACUGUGCAAUUGUUACUCAAUGAUUCAUUCUUUUGAGUAUGAGUAUAUAGAUCCAUUGUAAGGGACUGGUCUAUCUCUCACCCUUUUGCAUAUGUUGUUGUAUACUAUUGCUUAUUAGUUAUUUUUUCUCUUGAGGCUUUUAUGAAAUGGAUGAUGGAAAUGUUUUAUCUUUGUGAGAGAGUAGAGGGGUGAAAGUUUUAUUAAUUAGCAUCUUCUGUUUCUCUUUAAUUGUUUUGAGGAUUUGUUUAAUUAGUUACAUAUAUUAAAAAUUCUUCUUUAUUCAAAAUUCCAUUGCAUUAUGACCUCCGGAUAAGAUGUCGGCUAUCAUUUCCAUUAUUGUAACUUCAUGCAGAAUAAGAAAUCAAACCCAGGGACCAAAUUAGGACAUUUGAAACAUGGUAGGAGCUAAAGGGAAGAUUAUUAUCUCAUAAGGGAGAAUUCUUAACAUAAUCUGAACCUUCUCUUCUUGCAUGUUACAUAUGGCCGAAAAAUCAUUGUUGUGUUUGUGUGACUGAAUUCUUAUUUCAUUAUCUUCCCCUCAGCAAGCUAAAUACAGAAAAAGCAAUGUACUAUGCUUUUAUGCUCUGAUUAUUUUACUCUGCAUUUUCAUCUUUUGGCAUGCACUAUUGGAAAUAGUAUUUCAUUGUAGUUUGCAGAAGAUAACUGAUGUCAACCUCCAGGAAAUUGGUUUGGUGGAUUUCAUCGUGUUGCGUUGGAAGCACUCUUUUUAAAUAAAGGCUUUGGAUUUCACCUUUGAAAUCUCCAUCUCCAAGUUUGCCUUCUGUGAGUAUUUGAUGUGUUUAGUUUAAUUAAGAGUAUAGCUAAACUCAGGGUUUGAAGAUAUAACAACUCAAACUCCUUUUGGAUUGAGAACUAUGGAACUUGCAAUGACAGUGUUUGAAGAUAUCUCAACAACUCAAACUCAUGUAUGGUCACUCAAUAGUUUAAUUCAAUAACAGUAAAGGAAGUCAGAGAAAGAAGAAAACCAAAUUUGGUGCUAUAGUUCCACUGUGAAAGAACUACUUUGGUUCUUUCUGGUAACUUCACACACACUCACUGUGCCUCUUUUGAUUCUCUCCCCUGUUACACAGCAAUUGAGACUCCUACACAUUACAAGCAAUUAAUUAAUAUACAUUGCCUUAGUAUAUAUUUUUAACUUUUUAUA